rnacentral:rRNA from 1 species
GAUGAACGCUGGCGGCGUGCCUAAUACAUGCAAGUCGAGCGAACAGACGAGGAGCUUGCUCCUCUGACGUUAGCGGCGGACGGGUGAGUAACACGUGGAUAACCUACCUAUAAGACUGGGAUAACUUCGGGAAACCGGAGCUAAUACCGGAUAAUAUAUUGAACCGCAUGGUUCAAUAGUGAAAGACGGUUUUGCUGUCACUUAUAGAUGGAUCCGCGCCGCAUUAGCUAGUUGGUAAGGUAACGGCUUACCAAGGCAACGAUGCGUAGCCGACCUGAGAGGGUGAUCGGCCACACGGGAACUGAGACACGGUCCAGACUCCUACGGGAGGCAGCAGUAGGGAAUCUUCCGCAAUGGGCGAAAGCCUGACGGAGCAACGCCGCGUGAGUGAUGAAGGUCUUCGGAUCGUAACACUCUGUUAUUAGGGAAGAACAAAUGUGUAAGUAACUAUGCACGUCUUGACGGUACCUAAUCAGAAAGCCACGGCUAACUACGU